UUCCACGUUAAUAGAAGCUCCUAGCUUGCCAUUUUUGUGAGAGAAAAAAUUGUAAGCUUAUGCUGUGGGGAGGUCGGGAUCAAGCUGCUGAGAUGAACUGUACUCAACAUAUCACACAGAGUCAGAGACAAAACAGAGACAAAACGAUGUAGUCCCGGCAACCACUAGUGAAAAGUGAAAAACAUCCUCUCCCUGAAACUCGGCGGAAAACCUGUGUAAAAACUUGCAGAAGUAAUAGUAAUACCAUGCGCUGGGAGGUGAUAUCAAAUGGUUCCAAGGUCCAACUGGACCAUAUUUACAAGAGCUUUUUUUUACGGUUAUUGUUGAGUCCGUCUCAUAUUUUUCAGUACUUCCGUAAAAAUUAAUUCUGUCCGUUCGUCCGCAUCCUAAUUAUAUUUACACGACCGGCCGCUUUGACCACAAUCUGAUCGUGACUUCGAUCUGACUCGAUAAUCUCCCCCUUUCGUCAGCCCCUACCACUCCCCUCCUCACGCCGCCGCCGCUGCUCGCCGGACGCGCCACCUAGCUAGGCGGCGGCGGCCCGCGCCCGAGGCUUGCGCAGAUGAGGCGGCCCGCGCCCGAGGCCGAGGCGGUGGCGGCCCGCGCUCGAGGCAGCGGCGGCGCUUGCGCGGAGGUGCCCGGGGCAGCGGAGCUUGCGACGGGGCCCGCGGGCGGUGCGGCGGCUGCGGCGGCUCGCGCCCGCGAACGGAGGGGCGGCGGUGGCGUGCGCACAUCAGCGCACGACGGCAGCGGCACCCCUCUUCCCCUUUAUUGCUGUAUACCUUCAUGUUACUACAUGUAUCUAUGAAGCAUAUGGCUGCAGCUGGUGUUUGAACCUUAAAUAAGUUUUUGCAAUAGAGAUCCCAACAUUUUGUAUCACCGUCGUACUUAACUGAAUGAACACUGAAAUCUUCGCCACAGGGCCCUAAAAAUGCAUUAUGUGUUAGUUUAGCGCAGAGCAUAUCAACCCAGCACUGGAAUUAUCUAUGCAUUACACUGUUUCUUUGUGCAUCUGAAAUUGGUUCAUCUAAUUGACUUGAAUGGUCAGAUUAUAGAGCUCAUGUAUGCCUGCAAUAUGGUUUUAUUACAGGAGAAAAUUGAUUAAGUUGUUAGUCGGAACUCUUAAACUUUAUUUGGCAGGUGGCAUCUGUUCUUCUUCUGCUAUAGUUUGCACUUAUUUGGCUCAUGCUUGGCUUGUUGUAUUUUUUGGAAGUUGUUUUUCAGUACGACUCCUGCGAAAUUUGAGUUUCUUUUUCACAUAAGUUCUGUUUUGUUCUUUUACGUUUGAAAGGGUGCUACUUUUGGGUUGCUGCCUUGAAUGGUCAGAUUAUAGUAACUCAUUUUUGCUUACCAUAUGGUUUCAUUACAGGAGAAUUGUUUAGGUGAUUAGUCAGAACUCUUAAACUUUAUUUGAUAGGUGCUAUCUGUUAUUUAACCGCUGUAAUUUUCAAUUCUCUGGCCCAUGUUUGGCUUGUUGUAUUUCUGUAAGUUGUUUUUCAGUAUGAUUCCUGUGAAAGCUGAGUUUCUUUCUCACAUGAGUUUCUUUUGUUGUUUUACAUUUGAAAGGCACCACUUCUGAGUUGCUCCAACUAUGGAAGUGGUACUGCAAAUCAGUCAAAAGUUGAUUUAAGCACCCAAGUUUUACCUCAUUUUUGGCCAUAUGAUUCCAUCUUGCUCUUUCCCUAUCCUGUGUUAUACAGACACUAGAAAGACUAUAUCACCGAACUGUAACCAUCUACAUUUUCUGAACUUCCUAUGACGAUAAACUGGUGUAAACACCUCUGUCAUUUCAUGCACCGGAAUUUGAUUGCGUUUUACAUCAGGCUUUGCAAGUCUUAAUUCAGGUGGAUGGCUUUGCAACUCUUGUAAUAGUAUAUAGGUCCUAUGUCAUCUGACAGUUCAUUCAGUUUUACAUUAUUGACAUAAUCCACUAACUGAGUGUUGAAUGUUUUAUGUAACAUGUUCAUAAAAAUGAAGAAACCUGCUGCUGACAUUUGUAAUGCGAAUGCUGCUCUUGAGAUCAAACCAAACUCUGCAAAGGAAAAACUGAACUCUUGGAACGGCUUAUGCUAUGCUCGGUAAAUAGGAUGAAGCUGCUCGUGAUAUGCAUACGAAAGAAUUAUCAAAAGAGGAUCCUACAGGAUGAGAUCUGAGACCUGAGAGGCUGGGACCUUUCCCCUUUGCAAACAAAUUACCCCUUAUUAGUGUUAAAUAACACAGGGCAUAGAUUUUUGCCUCAGUUACGAAUUGGGGAAGAUUAUGACGGGGAACUAAAGGGUUCGUGCCCUCGUGGGGUGAUGGGAGGUCGGGACCGAGAGAAUCGAAUGGGAGAUAGAUACCUACGGUGGAGGACACGAGGCAGCGGUCUGCGGCGCCCGGCAGCGGGAUGGGGAGGGAAGGGCGGCGGUGCUCGCACAAGGAGGAAGAUGAGGGACGGAGCGAGCUAGCGAGGGGGGGCGUCAGGGCGUGGUGCGCAGCACCUGGAUGGGCCAAAAUAUAGGUGGCCAACGGCCCAGCAAGGCCCCUCAAGCCUAAGGUGGAAAAAAAAGGUUAGAUUUGGGCCAAAACUAGUUGAGUUCACGGGCCAAAUGUAAAGAUGAGUUGGGUUGGGCCAGAAUUGAGAAGGCUAAUGGUCAAAUGUAUUAAUCCAAAAAAUAAAAAUAAAAUAAACGGUUCGUGCCCGGCCCGGCCUGAGGUUGAAGCCCAGACACGGCACAGGUGGGGCGUCGGGCCGGCCCGAUCCAAUUAUUUUAUACACAAUACAUUUAUUAUUUUAUACUUUUUAUACUAUUGUUAAUGUAACAAUAUCUUUGCUGAGAAUAGUCUCGUUUGCUA